CAGCGCCACGCACGCAGAGAAGUUUCAAGCAUCUAACUUAUUCCAGCGUCCAUCUGUGCUUAGUCCAUCACUUCCAGUGUUCUUUCUUGCUGUCAUCCAUAAGGUUGCGAGAAGCGAGUGGAUCCUCGUUGGGUGAAAUCGUUGUUGGAGGCUUGCAAGAACAAAGAUCCAUUGCAACAUUCUUCUGGCUGCAAUCAAACCAACAAAUUCUUCCCCAAUUUCUGCGUUACCUGCUUGCAAUUAUACUGCAAAUUUUGCCCUAAAGCAACCAAUAAUCACCCACAUGAAAACCAUAUAGUACUUCCCGUUUACAAGGCUUCGCGCA